rnacentral:lncRNA from 1 species
UCAAAACAAACCACUCCUUCCUUGAGUUAUUUCUGUCAGGCAUUUGGUCACAGUGACAGGAAAACUCAAAGAGCUACCUCCCACCCCACCAUACCUGCUUCUCUUAGAGAUGCUAUCUGGGUACAUGAAGAAAGGUUCUACCCUCUGGGGCCUCGUAGUAGAAUGAAAAGAUGAAAGAUGAUGUCUGUGAGUUUGCCUGGAAUCUUCUGGAACAUCCCCAUUGUCUGCUCUGAAGUGGCUGCCCUGGGAUACAUCAACUGUAGGGCUAGUGACUCAGAGACGACAUCGCUUGCCCUGGGUCUCAUCACAAUCCAAGCAAAACUUGAGCCCAGUCAAAGUAAAAGAGGAUGCACAGAAACACCAACAGUGCCUGUGGGCCAAUUGAAGCAGGCUGCCACCCCACCCCUGAUUCCAAGGGCACAGAAGGCUCAUCCACCCUCUGUAUGGCUAGCACAUCUGAAUGUGAGGUUUCUGAUCAGUUGUCACCAGCCCUGGAGCCUCCUCAGCCACCUACCAAGCAAAAGUCUUCAUCGUGGCCAUUCCUGGACCCCCAGCUGUCUCUUCAUCCCUACGUGAUGCCUCCUGCAUUUGAAAUUGUUUUAAAAGAUACAGUUUGGGAAGUGUCAUUCUGGACAUAAACUCUUUAAAGACAAUGGACAUAUGUGUCUGGCCCAUACCUCUCUCCCCUGUGCCUAGGAUGGUACAAUCCAC